rnacentral:rRNA from 1 species
GAUUUCUGGUAUGGUGCGCUUGGUCCGCCCCGUUUCAGGUGUGUGAGUACCGAUGCGCACCUACCAUCCUUCUGGGGAGUGAGCCUACCCUUCACUGUGGCCGGGUUCACGACCUAGAUCGUUUACUUUGAAAAAAUUAGAGUGUUUAAAGCAGGCUUAUUGCUCUGAAUACAUUAGCAUGGAAUAAUAAGAUAGGACUUUGGUUCUAUUUUGUUGGUUUCUAGGACUGAAGUAAUGAUUGAUAGGGAUAGUUGGGGGUGCUAGUAUUCAACGGCCAGAGGUGAAAUUCUUGGAUUCGUUGAAGACUAACUUAUGCGAAAGCAUU